rnacentral:rRNA from 1 species
GAUUGAACGCUGGCGGCAUGCCUUACACAUGCAAGUCGAACGGUAACGGGCCUUCGGGUGCCGACGAGUGGCGAACGGGUGAGUAAUGCAUCGGAACGUACCUUUCAGUGGGGGAUAACGUAGCGAAAGUUACGCUAAUACCGCAUAUUCUGUGAGCAGGAAAGCAGGGGAUCGCAAGACCUUGCGCUGAUUGAGCGGCCGAUGUCAGAUUAGCUAGUUGGUGAGGUAAAGGCUCACCAAGGCGACGAUCUGUAGCGGGUCUGAGAGGAUGAUCCGCCACACUGGAACUGAGACACGGUCCAGACUCCUACGGGAGGCAGCAGUGGGGAAUUUUGGACAAUGGGGGCAACCCUGAUCCAGCCAUGCCGCGUGAGUGAAGAAGGCCUUCGGGUUGUAAAGCUCUUUCGGCCGGGAAGAAAUCGCAUGGGCUAAUACCCUGUGCGGAUGACGGUACCGGCAUAAGAAGCACCGGCUAACUACGUG